rnacentral:tRNA from 1 species
GCAUUGGUGGUUCAGUGGUAGAAUUCUCGCCUGCCACGCCGUAGGCCCGUGGUUCGAUUCCCGGCCAAUGCA